rnacentral:rRNA from 1 species
GUGAGGAAUCUUGCACAAUGGGGGAAACCCUGAUGCAGCGACGCCGCGUGAGUGAUGACGCCCUUCGGGGUGUAAAGCUCUUUCGACGGGGACGAUAAUGACGGUACCCGGAGAAGAAGCUGCGGCUAACUACGUGCCAGCAGCCGCGGUAAUACGUAGGCAGCAAGCGUUGUUCGGAAUUACUGGGCGUAAAGAGUGCGUAGGUGGUUGGCUAAGUUUGGUGUGAAAUCUCCCGGCUCAACUGGGAGGGUGCGCCGAAAACUGGCCGGCUAGAGUGUGGGAGAGGGAAGUGGAAUUCCUGGUGUAGCGGUGAAAUGCGUAGAUAUCAGGAGGAACACCUGCGGUGUAGACGGCUUCCUGGACCAUUACUGACACUGAGGCACGAAAGCGUGGGGAGCAAACAGGAUUAGAAACCCGUGUAGUCC